UACGAAGGGGGCUAGCGUUGCUCGGAAUCACUGGGCGUAAAGGGUGCGUAGGCGGGUCUUUCAGUCAGGGGUGAAAUCCUGGAGCUCAACUCCAGAACUGCCUUUGAUACUGGCGAUCUUGAGUCCGGGAGAGGUGAGUGGAACUGCGAGUGUAGAGGUGAAAUUCGUAGAUAUUCGCAAGAACACCAGUGGCGAAGGCGGCUCACUGGCCCGGUACUGACGCUGAGGCGCGAAAGCUAGGGGAGCAAACGGG
rnacentral:rRNA from 1 species